rnacentral:lncRNA from 1 species
CUAAGUUAAACUUAGAGAGAGAAACUCUCCCCUCCCACAAAGAACACACGCGGCCGGAGAAGAAGAAGAGGGGCGGCCAGAGCUGCUCCGGCGCGGUGGUCGGCCGGAGCGCCGCCGCGCCGGAGUUUUUUUUUUUUUUGCUUUUUUUGAAAUUUUUUUACAUCAAAAUACUCCUCUUCCCUUCCUCUACUCGAAUCCAAGCUCAAAACUUCGAAAACAAACACCAAAAAUCCUAGAUCUACAAGUGAAAAUGUGAAAUUUUUACCUCUUUUUCCGGUCUCCUCCUUUCCUAGCUUGAAUCCGGUCCGUUUCGUUCCCUUCCUUUUCCGGUUCGGCCUCCUCCUCUUCCUUUCCGGUUCGGCCUCCUCCUCUUCCUUUCCGGUUCGCCUCUUUCCUUGCUUUCCGGCGCGGCUCUUUCCUUGCUUUCCGGCGCGGAUUUGUGCUAGUUGUGGUUCGGAUUUGUGUUGUCGUGGUUCGAAUUUGUGUUGUUGUGGUUCGGAUUUGUGUUGCUUUUGGUUCAAAUUUGUGUUGUUGUGGUUCGGAUUUGUGUUGUUGUUAUUGAAUAAGGUAUCUGCAGUUAUGGUGUUGCUGGGUUUUUCUAUGAAUCUAUGAAUGUUCUUCCUAAACUCAUACUAUUUUCUUUGUAAUUUUUGGGUUUGAUUUGAAAAAGGUUGGAACAGUAGAAAAUUAGGGUUUAUGAAUUGCUGCUGGUUUUCUGACGUGAACAGUGACUUCUGGCCCAUUUCCCAAUGAUUGACAGGGUUUUUAUAGUGACAAACUAGGGUUGGCUCUGGUACAAAACAAAGACCAAAAUGCCCCUGCAGCUGAGACUUGGGGACAAAGGCUUAACAAAUAAAUAAAUAAAUAAAAAUAAAAAGAAUGAAUAAAAAGAAAAAGAAAAAGAAAAGCAAAAGAAAAAGAAGAAAGGGAAGACGUAUGUCUUCUUCUUUUCUUUGUUGUGUUUUUUUUUAUAAAAAAAAAAAAAAUAAUAAUAAUAAUAAUAAUAAUAAAAUAAAACAAUAAUAAACAAACUAAAAAAGAC